rnacentral:rRNA from 1 species
ACGGAAGGCAGCAGUGGGGAAUAUUGCACAAUGGGCGAAAGCCUGAUGCAGCGACGCCGCGUGAGCGAAGAAGUAUUUCGGUAUGUAAAGCUCUAUCAGCAGGGAAGAUAAUGACGGUACCUGACUAAGAAGCACCGGCUAAAUACGUGCCAGCAGCCGCGGUAAUACGUAUGGUGCAAGCGUUAUCCGGAUUUACUGGGUGUAAAGGGAGCGUAGGCGGUUUUACAAGUCUGAUGUGAAAGCCCGGGGCUCAACUCCGGUAUUGCAUUGGAAACUGUAGAACUAGAGCGUCGGAGGGGUAAGUGGAAUUCCUAGUGUAGCGGUGAAAUGCGUAGAUAUUAGGAGGAACACCAGUGGCGAAGGCGGCUUACUGGACGAUUACUGACGCUGAGGCUCGAAAGCGUGGGGAGCAAACAGGAUUAGAUACCCUGGUA